CGCGUAUGCAACCUACCUAUCGAGAGGGGAAUAACCCGGCGAAAGUCGGACUAAUACCGCAGUAAAACAGGGGCACCGCAUGGUGAUAUUGUUAAAGAAUUCGCUGAUAGAUGGGCAUGCGUUCCAUUAGGUAGUUGGUGAGGUAACGGCUCACCAAGCCGACGAUGGAUAGGGGAACUGAGAGGUUGGUCCCCCACACUGGUACUGAGACACGGACCAGACUCCUACGGGAGGCAGCAGUGAGGAAUAUUGGUCAAUGGGCGGGAGCCUGAACCAGCCAAGUCGCGUGAAAAGGAAGAAGGAUCUAUGGUUCGUAAACUUCUUUUGCAGGGGAAUAAAGUGCAGGACGUGUCCUGUUUUGUAUGUACCCUGAGAAUAAGGAUCGGCUAACUCCGUGCCAGCAGCUGC
rnacentral:rRNA from 1 species